rnacentral:rRNA from 1 species
GCAAGCGUUAUCCGGAAUCACUGGGCGUAAAGGGCGCGUAGGUGGUCUGUUAAGUCUGCGUUAAAGCCUGGGGCUCAACCCCAGAUCAGCGUUGGAUACUGGCAGGCUAGACGGUUGGAGAGGCGAGUGGAAUUACCAGUGUAGCGGUGGAAUGCGUAGAUACUGGUAGGAACACCCAUUGCGAAGGCAGCUCGCUGGACAACACGUGACANUGAGGCGAGAAAGUGUGGGGAGCAAACCGGAUUAGAUACCCGGGUAGUCCACACCAUAAACGAUGCAUACUUGGUAUUGGCCCGUUGGGGUCAGUGCCGGAGCUAA